UGCAGUCGNNCGGUAACAUUUCUAGCUUGCUAGAAGANGACGAGUGGCGGACGGGUGAGUAAUGCUUGGGAACUUGCCUUUGCGAGGGGGAUAACAGUUGGAAACGACUGCUAAUACCGCAUAAUGUCUUCGGACCAAACGGGGCUUCGGCUCCGGCGCAAAGAGAGGCCCAAGUGAGAUUAGCUAGUUGGUAAGGUAACGGCUUACCAAGGCGACGAUCUCUAGCUGUUCUGAGAGGAAGAUCAGCCACACUGGGACUGAGAUACGGCCCAGACUCCUACGGGAGGCAGCAGUGGGGAAUAUUGCACAAUGGGGGAAACCCUGAUGCAGCCAUGCCGCGUGUGUGAAGAAGGCCUUCGGGUUGUAAAGCACUUUCAGUUGUGAGGAAAAGUUAGUAGUUAAUACCUGCUAGCCGUGACGUUAACAACAGAAGAAGCACCGGCUAACUCCGUGCCAGCAGCCGCGGUAAUACGGAGGGUGCGAGCGUUAAUCGGAAUUACUGGGCGUAAAGCGCACGCAGGCGGUUUGUUAAGCUGGAUGUGAAAGCCCCGGGCUCAACCUGGGAUGGUCAUUUAGAACUGGCAGACUAGAGUCUUGGAGAGGGGAGUGGAAUUCCAGGUGUAGCGGUGAAAUGCGUAGAUAUCUGGAGGAACAUCAGUGGCGAANNCGACUCCCUGGCCAAAGACUGACGCUCAUGUGCGAAAGUGUGGGUAGCGAACAGGAUUAGAUACCCUGGUAGUCCACACCGUAAACGCUGUCUACUAGCUGNGUGUGUCUUUA
rnacentral:rRNA from 1 species